GGGAUAGCCGUUGGAAACGACGAAUAAUACCCUAUGAAACUAUCACUUCGCAUGAAGCGAUAGUCAAAGUGUUAGCGGUGUAAGAUGGACUUGCGUCUGAUUAGCUAGUUGGUGAGAAAAAGCCCACCAAGGCAACGAUCAGUAGCCGGCUUGAGAGAGUGUACGGCCACAUUGGGACUGAGACACGGCCCAG
rnacentral:rRNA from 1 species